AUAUAUUCUCUAUUCUCGACUGUAGUGAUUAGUUGAAGUUUGAGUUUGCUUUGUUGUUCUACUGAUUUGUAUUUUGAAUAUCUCAUUCCCUAAUAUUGUAUGAAUUACUGCUGGAUGUAUAAUUAGACUGAUAUAGGACCGUUGAACUAUUACUCCUUAGGUUUGUUUGAGCUUUUUUUAGUAGAAGAGCAAGUUCACGUUUGAAAAAUUGAAUAGCACAUGUUAGUUCAGUUGAUUUCUGUUAGUGUUUACAUGUAUAUGUCAAUUAACUGCAGUAUUGCUGUUUAUCUAGAACUGUGUUAAUAUCCAAUAACAAGAAAGGCCAUGCUCACUGUUGUAAUUGUGUUUAUAGGAAAGGACUUAGAGAUUUUAAUAAUAGAAGAAAAUUUAGUUCAUCUUUGGUAUUGAUUAUGAGCAUACUUGAUAUAGCGAUCAGUAACGUUAGCUUAAGUUUUGGUGUUCAAAUUGCUGGUUUCAAGCCUGGAAACAAAUGGUUCAAAUUUACUUUCAUGUAGUUCGUUUUUCCUGAUUGAAGUGUCAAUAGUAACGUAGGUUUUAAUAUUGAUAGUAGACUUGGCUGUGAAUUUGACAUGAAGCCUUGCGUUGGUAUGGGUUCGAACUGGAAAACUUCCCGUUUGUUUGGGCGCUCAGCAUUAGUUUGGGUCCCUCGUGGACUUCGGCUAGGGCUGAAGGCCGUUUGGAAUUCGAAGUGGCUCUAUAGCCCAUUGGGCCUCAGGUUUUUGUCACGCACGCCCAGAUUCAACAUUAUGUUCCUUCACAAUUGGGCCUGGGUCAAUAAGCAGUUGAUUUCAGUCAAAUAAACAAUAACAGAUUAGGAUUUUUUAUUUUUAGAGACAAGUAAUAUAGAAAAUCAUAGCUUACUUUAGGGUGAACCUUUAAAUAAAAAUGAGAUGAGACUCGCCAAAAAUACUAGAAAUUACGGGGCCCUCGAUAAAAAUUAUAUUAGUUUUAGACUUCGGGUUGUGGCGUUUAGUGAAUUUCGCGGCCUUCCCUGAAAAUAACAACGCGUUAGACACUUUAGGCGAGA
rnacentral:lncRNA from 1 species